rnacentral:rRNA from 1 species
UACGUAGGGUGCGAGCGUUAAUCGGAAUUACUGGGCGUAAAGUGUGCGCAGGCGGCCGCGCAAGUCGAGUGUGAAAGCCCCGGGCUUAACUUGGGAAUUGCGCUCGAAACUACGUGGCUGGAGUGUGGCAGAGGAAGGUGGAAUUCCAGGUGUAGCGGUGAAAUGCGUAGAGAUCUGGAGGAACACCGAUGGCGAAGGCAGCCUUCUGGGCCAACACUGACGCUGAGUGAGCGAAAGCCAGGGGAGCAAACGGG